rnacentral:rRNA from 1 species
UACAGAGGUCUCAAGCGUUGUUCGGAUUCAUUGGGCGUAAAGGGUGCGUAGGCGGCGCGGUAAGUCGGGUGUGAAAUCUUGGAGCUUAACUCCGAAACUGCAUUCGAUACUGCCGUGCUUGAGGACUGGAGAGGAGACUGGAAUUUACGGUGUAGCGGUGAAAUGCGUAGAUAUCGUAAGGAAGACCAGUGGCGAAGGCGGUUCUCUGGGACGGUAUUGACGCUGAGACGCGAAAGCGUGGGGAGCGAACAGG